GACGAACGCUGGCGGCGUGCUUAACACAUGCAAGUCGAAUGGAAAGGCCCUGCUUUUGUGGGGUGCUCGAGUGGCGAACGGGUGAGUAACACGUGAGUAACCUGCCCUUGACUUUGGGAUAACUUCAGGAAACUGGGGCUAAUACCGGAUAGGAGCUCCUGCUGCAUGGUGGGGGUUGGAAAGUUUCGGCGGUUGGGGAUGGACUCGCGGCUUAUCAGCUUGUUGGUGGGGCAGUGGCUUACCAAGGCUUUGACGGGUAGCCGGCCUGAGAGGGUGACCGGCCACAUUGGGACUGAGAUACGGCCCAGACUCCUACGGGAGGCAGCAGUGGGGAAUAUUGCACAAUGGGCGGAAGCCUGAUGCAGCAACGCCGCGUGCGGGAUGACGGCCUUCGGGUUGUAAACCGCUUUCGCCUGUGACGAAGCGUGAGUGACGGUAAUGGGUAAAGAAGCACCGGCUAACUACGUG
rnacentral:rRNA from 1 species